rnacentral:lncRNA from 1 species
ACUCUAGGUAGAAAUUCUAUAACUGUUGUAGACCUAAUAAUAAGCGAGGUUGCUUUAUUGAAGGAUGUGUAUCUUAAAUUAUAUGUUGGGGUUGGAUGCAUCACAAAAGCCAAAAGAGAAGGUUGAACCAAAGUUACUCUCCUUGUUAGUAGGAUGAGCUGGAAAUAAUGAAAGAUGAGCAUCUCAUACUAGGUCCAACU